CCUACGGGAGGCUGCAGUGAGGAAUAUUGGUCAAUGGACGAGAGUCUGAACCAGCCAAGUAGCGUGAAGGAUGACUGCCCUAUGGGUUGUAAACUUCUUUUAUAUGGGAAUAAAACGUUCCACGUGUGGGAUUUUGUAUGUACCAUAUGAAUAAGGAUCGGCUAACUCCGUGCCAGCAGCCGCGGUAAUACGGAGGAUCCGAGCGUUCUCCGGAUUUAUUGGGUUUAAAGGGAGCGUAGGUGGAUUGUUAAGUCAGUUGUGAAAGUUUGCGGCUCAACCGUAAAAUUGCAGUUGAAACUGGCAGUCUUGAGUACAGUAGAGGUGGGCGGAAUUCGUGGUGUAGCGGUGAAAUGCUUAGAUAUCACGAAGAACUCCGAUUGCGAAGGCAGUUCACUGGACUGCAACUGACACUGAGGCUCGAAAGUGUGGGUAUCAAACAGGAUUAGAUACCCUUGUAGUC
rnacentral:rRNA from 1 species